CAAACUGCUAGGAUUACAGUAUGUCUACAAGAUGCUGAGAAUACAAAAAGUUUGUGUUCACAAAAGGAGGAGGAAAGUGCAAGGGGCAAAGGACCAAAGCAACAUGCUAGCUGAGAAUGUUUGUUUCUUUGAAAACCUUUGCCAGAAGCUCUACCUCAUAGGCAUAGGCUUUUGAAGAGAUUGUGAUGACUUCAAAAUAACCUGUAAGCUUGCAUUUUAAAGGUUAACAAGGGCAGGAGAUAUGAUCAAUGAUGUGUCCCUAUCACUUUUCCCCCUCCUGAACAGUAUCCAAGUGAGAUUAUUCCACUUACCAAGAGAGCCAUUCUGAAUAUGUAAAUUAAAUGUCAAGCUCUUGGCAACAAUUAUUGCUCUAUCUUCUGUUUUCUAUCAUAAUAGCGUAUGGCAGGUACUUAAAGAAAUAGAGGGUUAAGAGAUAUUGUUGAGGAAAAGUUUAAAAAGUUGGCUAGAGCAAUGAAUGGACAACAGACAUUGCUAGAGAGGAGGUUGUACUUUUUCUUAUAUGCAGAAGGGGUUAUGCAGAGAAGUAAAAUGGAUUUUGUGAAGGUAGGACACUUUGUUUUUACUUUUCGUGAAAUUCCCAAGAUGAUAGACUAGAGCCCCAAGAAGGCUUAGCAGAAAAAAGGUAUGCUAGUGUGGAGGCUCACACCUGUAGUCCCAGCUCCUUGGAAGGCUGAGCAGGAGGAUCCCUUGAGCCCAGGGUUUGAGGCUACAGUGAACUAUGAUUGUACUACUGCCCUCCAGUCUGGGACAAAGGGUGAAACCCCGUCUCUGGAAAUAA